UCAAAAUCUGUCAUUAGAGAUAAAACCUUGAAGUGAAGGCUGUUUUGAUGUUUGAAAUAUUUGUUGAUGUGAGUUUGUGAUUAACAAGUUUAAGAAUGGUAUGUUGCAGAAAUUCUGGCAGAUGCGAAUGUAAGCUUGAUGGCAUCAUUUUCAUAUAACUGCUUGAAAUGCAUAUAUACCACUAUCAGCAUUGAGCGUCUCGUGAACUGUCAAAUGUCAUAUAGGCCUCACACAGUUGAAAAUAGUGAAAAAAGUAAUCGGUAGACAGGUCUGCAUCUCGUAAGAUAUCGGAAGCCGUCUGACUUGGCCACAUCGCUCGGAAGUCCGAAGUACUAGAAAAAACCGCCAUCUGCUACC